GACGAACGCUGGCGGCGUGCCUAACACAUGCAAGUCGAACGGAAAGGCCCUGCUUUUGUGGGGUGCUCGAGUGGCGAACGGGUGAGUAACACGUGAGUAACCUGUACCUGACGUUGGGAUAACUUCAGGAAACUGGGGCUCAUACCGGAUAGGAGCUAUUGCUGCACGGUGGGGGUUGGAAAGUUUCGGCGGUUGGGGAUGGACUCGCGGCUUAUCAGCUUGUUGGUGGGGUAGUGGCUUACCAAGGCUUUGACGGGUAGGCGGCCUGGGCGGGUGACCGGCCACAUUACGCCUGCGAUACGGCCCAGUCUCCUACGGGACGCAACGGUGGAGAGUAUUGCACAGUGGGCGGGAGCCUGAUGCGACGGCGCCGCGUGCGGGAAAACGUCCUUCUGGUUGUAAACCACUUUCGCCUGAGACGAGGCGUGAGUGACGGUACUGGGUAAAGAAGCACCGGCUAACUACGUG
rnacentral:rRNA from 1 species